rnacentral:rRNA from 1 species
AACGAACGCUGGCGGCGUGCCUAAUACAUGCAAGUCGUACGAGAAAGCCCUUCGGGGUGAGUAGAGUGGCGCACGGGAGAGUAAUGCAUAGGAACGUACCAAUAGGUGGGGAAUAACCACGGGAAACUGUGGCUAAUACCGCAUAAUCUGGCAACAGUAAAGAUGGCCUCUUCUUGAAAGCUAUCGCCAAUUGAUCGGCCUAUGUCCCAUUAGCUUGAUGGUGAGGUAACGGCUCACCAUGGCGACGAUGGGUAGCUGGUCUGAGAGGAUGAUCAGCCUCACUGGGACUGAGACACGGCCCAGACUCCUACGGGAGGCAGCAGUAGGGAAUCUUGCACAAUGGACGCAAGUCUGAUGCAGCAACGCCGCGUGUGUGAAGAAGGCUCUUGGGUUGUAAAGCACUUUCGCCAGGGAUGAUAAUGACAGUACCUGGUAAAGAAACCCCGGCUAACUCCG